AGUGAGAUGCCUGAAAAAGGUUAAUUUUGAUAGAAUUACUCAUGCAGUCCGCGCUGUUCUCACUA
rnacentral:tRNA from 1 species